rnacentral:rRNA from 1 species
GGAUGAACGCUAGCGACAGGCUUAACACAUGCAAGUCGAGGGGCAGCGAGACGGUAGCAAUACUGUUGUCGGCGACCGGCGCACUGGUGAGUAACACGUAUGCGACCUGCCCUGCACUGGGGGAUAACCCGUAGAAAUGCGGCCUAAUACCCCAUAGUCCACGAGGGUGCAUGCCCUUGUGGGGAAAGAAUUUCGGUGCAGGAUGGGCAUGCGGCGCAUUAGGUAGUUGGCGGGGUAACGGCCCACCAAGCCGACGAUGCGUAGGGGUUCUGAGAGGAAGGUCCCCCACAUUGGUACUGAGACACGGACCAAACUCCUACGGGAGGCAGCAGUGAGGAAUAUUGGUCAAUGGGCGAGAGCCUGAACCAGCCAAGUCGCGUGAGGGAUGACGGUCCUACGGAUUGUAAACCUCUUUUGUCAGGGAGUAACAGCAGGCACGUGUGCCUGCCUGAGAGUACCUGAAGAAAAAGCAUCGGCUAACCCCGUGCCAGCAGCCGCGGUAAUACGGAGGAUGCGAGCGUUAUCCGGAUUUAUUGGGUUUAAAGGGUGCGCAGGCGGCAUGGUAAGCCAGCGGUCAAAUUGCGGGGCUCAACCCCGUACCGCCGUUGGAACUGCCGAGCUAGAGUGCGUGCGAUGGUGCCGGAAUGCGCAGUGUAGCGGUGAAAUGCAUAGAUAUUGCGCAGAACUCCGAUUGCGAAGGCAGGCGCCAAGCACGUUACUGACGCUGAGGCACGAAAGCGUGGGUAUCGAACAGGAUUAGAUACCCCUGGUAGUCCACGCAGUAAACGAUGAUCACUGGCCAUUCGGCUUAAUUGCGAGUUGAGGGGCUGAGCGAAAGCGUUAAGUGAUCCACCUGGGGAGUACGCCGGCAACGGUGAAACUCAAAGGAAUUGACGGGGGCCCGCACAAGCGGAGGAACAUGUGGUUUAAUUCGAUGAUACGCGAGGAACCUUACCCGGGCUCAAACGGUGGAUGACCGCCUGCGAAAGCAGGUUUUCAGCAAUGACAUCCUCCGAGGUGCUGCAUGGUUGUCGUCAGCUCGUGCCGUGAGGUGUCGGCUUAAGUGCCAUAACGAGCGCAACCCCCAUCUUCAGUUGCCAUCGGGUGAUGCCGGGCACUCUGUAGAGACUGCCAGCGCAAGCUGUGAGGAAGGCGGGGAUGACGUCAAAUCAGCACGGCCCUUACGUCCGGGGCGACACACGUGUUACAAUGGCGGAGAACAGAGGGAAGCCAUAUGGCGACAUAGAGCUGAUCCCAAAAAUCCGUCUCAGUUCGGAUUGGAGUCUGCAACCCGACUCCAUGAAGCUGGAUUCGCUAGUAAUCGCGCAUCAGCCAUGGCGCGGUGAAUACGUUCCCGGGCCUUGUACACACCGC